rnacentral:rRNA from 1 species
GUCACUGCUAUUGGGAUUCGACUAAGCCAUGCGAGUUGAGAGGGUUCGGCCCUCAGCAGACGGCUCAGUAACACGUGGAUAAUCUGCCCUUAGGUGGAGGAUAACCCCGGGAAACUGAGAAUAAUACUCCAUAGAUCUGGAAUGCUGGAAUGCAUCUAGGUUGAAAGCUCCGGCGCCUAAGGAUGAGUCCGCGGACUAUCAGGUAGUAGUUAGGGUAAAGACCCGACUAGCCUAUGACGGAUACGGGUUGUGAGAGCAAUAACCCGGAGACGAUAUCUGAGACACGAUAUCGGGCCUUACGGGGCGCAGCAGGCGCGAAAACUUCACACUGUGCGAAAGCACGAUGAGGGAAUCCCAAGUGCUGGCUCGUAAGAGUCAGCUGUUUUUCUGUCUAAAAAACAGAGAGAGUAAGAGCUGGGUAAGACGGGGCCAGCCGCCGCGGUAAUACCUGCAGCUCAAGUGGUGGCCGCUAUUAUUGGGCCUAAAACGUCCGUAGCCGGUUUAGUAAAUGCCUGGGUAAAUCGUGUAGCUUAACUGUACGAAUUCCGGGUAGACUGCUGAACUUGAGAUCGGGAGAGGCUAGAGGUACUCCUGGGGUAGAGGUGAAAUUUUGUAAUCCUAGGGGGACCACCAGUGGCGAAGGCGUCUAGCCAGAACGGGUCUGACGGUGAGGGACGAAGCCCUGGGGCGCAAACCGGAUUAGACACCCGGGUAGUCCAGGGUGUAAACGCUGCUCGCUUGAUGUUAGUUGGGCUCCGGGCCCAACUAGUGUCGGAGAGAAGUUGUUAAGCGAGCUGCCUGGGAAGUACGGUCGCAAGGCUGAAACUUAAAGGAAUUGGCGGGGGAGCACAGCAACGGGUGGAGCGUGCGGUUUAAUUGGAUUCAACGCCGGAAAACUCACCGGGGGCGACGGUUAUAUGGAGGCCAGGUUGAUGACCUUGCCAGAUUUUCCGAGAAGUGGUGCAUGGCCGUCGUCAGUCCGUACCGUGAGGCGUUCUGUUAAGUCAGAUAACGAACGAGACCCUCAUUUUUAGUUGCUACCGGUAAGUCCGCUUAUUAGGCACACUAAAGAGACCGCUGGCGAUAAGUCAGAGGAAGGUGAGGGCAACGGUAGGUCAGUAUGCCCCGAAUCCCCCGGGCUACACGCGCGCUACAAAGACUAGAACAAUGGGCUUCGACACCGAAAGGUGAAGGCAAUCCCGAAACCUAGUCAUAGUUCGGAUUGAGGGUUGUAACCCACCCUCAUGAAGCUGGAAUCCGUAGUAAUCGCGGGUCAACAUCCCGCGGUGAAUAUGCCCCUGCUCCUUGCACACACCGCCCGUCAAACCAUGCGAGUUGGGUCUGAGUGAGGAUGUAAUUCUUGUUACAUUCAAACUUAGGCCUAGUAAGCGGGGUU